UUUCACGCAAAACCGUCUCUCACUGCAAACUCAAUCUUCACUAUAAACCCUUCUCUCACUGCAAAUUCUUCUUCACAGUAAAUCUCUUCGCCAAACACUUCUCACGAACCCAGAAAUCUCUUCGUCGAGUCCUUCACAUAAAACCCAGAAUUCGUACUGUUGUCACGAACCCUUCCUUGCAAAUUUGAAACGCUAAAUUUCUGGAAGGUGCUACUCAUUCAUAUGUAUGUAAUUUGUAAACCCUAACUUUUUUUGUUUUGUUGUGUUAUUUCAAUUUCUGUUUCUGCUGCUAUUUUUGUUUUAUUAUUAUUUUCCUGCAAUGCUAUCUGGUAUAUGCUCGUCUUUGUUUUGUGCUCUGCUUGUGCUAUUUUAUUUUGGGUCAUGGUAAUUAAUAUUUUUAGGUAAUACCGUAAUAGUUAAGAAAAUUAAUUCUUUUUUAUGAUAUAUAGUUUUUUAAGUAAUUCUUCAAAAACACUAGUUAACAAUUUCCUUUUGUUAUUUGUACAUCUUGUAGUUGGAUUACUGAUAUUCAAUAUAUUUUGCCUUUUAAGAAAAUAGUAAAUUAAAUAUUGGUUAACAAAAGGAAAAAUCGAAGCGCUUAUAUUCUGGACAUUGUGCAAAUUUAUUGUGUUGACACAAUUUGUUUCAGAAACAUUCAUCAUGUACAAAAUCCACAAAAAAAAAAAAAAAAAUCUAAGUCUUGGUAUACUCUAUUCAUCAUUAAUUAUAAACAAAAGGCGAUUUUUUAGAUUCGAUCUAUAUUAUUAUAGAUCAGAUAUACAUCCGCAAAGCAUUCUGCAAAGCAUAGUUCACAUAGAAGAUUUUUUGCCCCAACAGUCAACACUAUCCAUCCGCAAAGCAUUCUGCUAUUGAUAUCACUGUUAUCAUCAGAGUUUGCCUAUAAUUCAACUGUGAUGUUUGGUAGUUGGCUCUUUUAGUUUGUAUAUGUGGUUAGUUCACAAGAAAGGGAUUGGGGCCUUUAGUUUACCCUCCUCACAUUUCACCAAAAUAAGAAGUCUGUUAUCACAUUGUGAAUUAUAAGUUUCUAAGUUUCCAUUAAUUACUAUCAUUAGGAAGAUGUGCUACUAAAUUUUUUGCCUUGGUUGUAUUGGCCAUAUUUAGAGUGAAUGUCUUUUUAAAAUUACGUAAUUGUCUUUAUUUCAGCCACUUGCAAUAUAUCAUGCUCCUCAACUUGUUGGAAUUACAACCUCGAAUCUCGAAGUCAGUGAUAAGUUGAAAAUUCAUUACCUUGGUAAAUUAUCACCUUCAAAUUCUCUAUAUGCAUAUUUAUUUUGUAGCAUAGUUUAUUCCUAACAAAUUUGGAUUAUUUGGAAUAGUCAUACUUCUUAGGUUAGGUGGCUUUAUAUUCUCAUGAGGUACACAUUCAAUAGAUGUAAUGAUGUUUUUAUUUUUCAAGUUAUGUAACCUUAUUAUAUAGUUUUUUUCCCUUUUGAUUUCUUCUUGAAUUGAAACUGAUAAUAUUAAGAAAUGAUGGAUGUGUGCAUAGAAGGCGAUGACAUAUGUCAACUGUUGUGAUAUAUGCAUUGCUGCCAUUAUCUUAGUUCCAAUAUCAAUUAUCAGAAGUUAUUUAUUUUGUUUAUCAUGUCACAUGACAGGUAUUUCCUGUUGCUCAAAAGGAAUUUUGUGGAUUCAAUCAUUUUACAAGUAUGAACUCUCUCCCUUCUCUGGUCUUGAACUUGUUUGAGCGGGCUUGAAUACCCACUUUUCCUUUAUUCCUCGUAUCUCUUCCUUUAUUUUGGGUGCAAAAUAUACUAAACUGACGUGUUCAUGUUGUGCAGCAUUUGUGUGCUAUAGAAUUAUUUUAUAAUCUGAGGUUCUACACAAAAUUAUAAGCUAUGAGGUUUGGUACAUCUCUCACUCUUCAUUCUCAAACAUAGGAAAUUCACACAAAGGUUCAAGUUAUUGACAUCUAUCUAGUCUCUUUUUAAUCCACACAAAGGUAAGCUCAAAUAUGCCUAUUUUGUCAAAUAACUUAUAAAAAUUAGUUUUGAUAAUAAUGUCUUUCUUGUAUUUGAUAACAUACCUUAAUUAAGAUAGUAAUGUGUUUACAAAUUAGUCUCAUAUGAUAUUUAG
rnacentral:lncRNA from 1 species